UUCUCUAAUGUCGAAAACAUAUUUCGAAAUGCGAUUUUCCUCAGUCUGUUUCCAUUCCUGUUCUCGUUAACAUCUACACAUUUUUGUUUCGUUUUUUGUUCAAUGUGCCCCUUGUAGUUGGUCCUGCCGGGGAAGUCAAAAGAAAGAAGUUCAAAAAUCCAGAAACGGCACCUAUUUCCGUGAAGAAGUUUGCGGCCAAACGGCGACAGGAUGUGUGGAGGCUGCUGUAAUUCUUGCUGCGGUCCCUGCUGUAGCCCCUGCUGCAGUCCCUGCUGUUCGCCCUGCUGUGGACCCUGUUGUGGUCCUUGCUGUGGACCCUGCUGUUCGCCCUGCUGUGGACCCUGCUGUGGACCCUGCUGUGGACCCUGUUGUGGACCCUGUUGUGGAUCCUGCUGCUCCCCCUGCUGCUCACCCUGCUGCUACCCAUGUUGUUAUCCUUGUGGAGCCCUCUGUGGUGGGUGCUGCGGUGGCUGCUGUUGAUGUAUGGUCCACCGGCCACUUCUUUAGAAAGAAAUCUAGGUGCUGGAUCUGGAUUCAUCCAAAAUUAGACAUGGAAACGGAAUUGCAAUAGAAAAAAAACAAUAACCCAAAUGUAAAAUGCGCAAAAAAAAAACGAGAAAUUAAGUCUUAGUCUUAGAAUACAAACAAUAACAAGCCAAAGAAAAAAAAAAGAAACACAAAAAAAAUUAUAAAUACAA